rnacentral:rRNA from 1 species
AUGGAAAUAUGGGAAAAUUCGAAUCUGAACCCGAGCUCAUCUGCACCUGCGCUCACGAAAAAAAUCAAAAUAAAUACUAAAGAAAUUCAAAAAAUUCCAAAAAAAAUUGGGGUGGUGGACAAUUUGAUGCGCGAGGUACGCUCCAAUUUUCAAAACAUUUGGACUUCUGUGCAGCUCUCAGCAAAAAAGACAAAUCGGAGGUCUGUAAAAAUGUGUACUGUUCAUAUACUGUUCUGGUCUGAUUUGUCUUUUUUGCUGAGAGCUGCACAGAAGUCCAAAUGUUUUGAAAAUUGGAGCGUACCUCACGCAUCAAAUUGUCUACCACCCAAAUUUUUUUUGGAAUUUUUUGAAUUUUUCUGA